AUUGAACGCUAGCGGGAUGCCUUACACAUGCAAGUCGAACGGAGUGGCGAACGGGUGAGUAAUGUAUGGGAACGUGCCCAGUAGCGGGGGAUAACUACGCGAAAGCGUAGCUAAUACCGCAUACUUUUGGAGCGGCCGGUAUCGGAUUGGCUAGUGGGUGGGGUAAGCGCUCACCAAGGCGACGAUCCGUAGCUGGUUUGAGAGGAGGACCAGCCACACUGGGACUGAGACACGGCCCAGACUCCUACGGGAGGCAGCAGUGGGGAAUUUUGGACAAUGGGGGAAACCCUGAUGCAGCCAUCCCGCGUGUGCGAUGAAGGCCUUCGGGUUGUAAAGCACUUUCGGCAGGAAAGCGGUACCUGCAGAGUAAGCACCGGCUAACUACGUGCCAGCCGCCGCGGUAAUUC
rnacentral:rRNA from 1 species